rnacentral:misc_RNA from 1 species
AACCUAGCACACCUGCGGUGUGUACCUGCGGAAGGAUCAUUACGAAAUUCUCGGUGGCGCAGCCGGUUACGGCCCGCGCCCCCGCUGGAAGCGCCGGGAGGCGUCUAACAGCGUAACCCCCUUGUGAAAUCAACCCCGUUGCUUCGGCAGCCCCUCCCAGGAGCGGUAAGCCUGCCGCCAGCAUCACGGAAACUCAAUCUGAAAACUUGCACCCCCUUGUCUGAACGGCGCAGUCGAAUG